UCCGAUCUAGUCGAAAUUGAUAGCUGUCUUUUCAACAGGAAAAUACAGCUAUCAAUUUCGACUCUAAAAAUCUUUUCUCUUAAGUGGAUAGCGAAGUGAGGAUUUCAUAAUUAUUUUCCCGUUUUUAGAAUAAUUCUCCUCUUUGGAAAAAACGUUUAUCACAGGUGAAACUUCGACUAUCAAGUCGUCGUGAUAGGACUGAUGGUAGUGUAUACGCAGCGCAUGGCUCCCCAUAAAUUACCCGAUUUACGCAGAAGACCUGUUUGUAUUACGGGGUGUGGUAACACAAAUCAGAAUUCGCGGAAACAACAGUAAGGAGUUGGAACAGUCAGCUUUCUGUAACGGCUCUAACUUUACUGGAAAUAGGUUUUGUUUUGUUGGGAAAAUGAAGAGAAUGUUUAGUAACGCUUAUCGGAAAUGUAUGUGAACGGUAUUGUUGUUGACUGUCGGAUAACCUGAUUCAAUUUGUCGACUGUGCUCGCUAAAAAACAUCAAACAUGGAAUAUUGGAUGCCGAAAAUGCGAAAUCUGCUCGCAGUAUAGACAUUUGAAAGAGUUUUUGCAAUUUGCCCUUCGAAACCCGUCAAUUUUUUCUUCGGAUGCAUCACUAUUAAAAGUCAUAUAAGGUUCUACUCAUCUGUAAGUCCUGGCAACAAACGUGUUCAAACAAAUGACUGAUAUUGAUUUCUUAGGAGUAGGGUUUAUAACAGGAUUCGUGUGUGACUUGUGUUACACGAAUGCCAAAUGUCUCACACUGCGCGUCGGUACGCUGCUAAAACGACAUAUUUUAACGAGUUGUCCAUGCAACCGGAUCGAAUCAGACACAGUCCGAAGGGAGAAUAUAAUUAUUCACUCAAUAUUCCAUUCUCCCCUUCCAUACUGUGCUGAUUUGGCGACAGACAAAUCUUAGGCGACUCCAA
rnacentral:lncRNA from 1 species